UGGGAACAAAGGGCGCCACCAACCCGGGAGAGUGGGCCAGGAACUGCAUUUUAAAUCCGCCUGGCCAGCUGCCCGGGGCCGCGGCUGUUACCCUUCUGUUCUAGCCCUUGGGCAGCAGGCCUUGAAAAGCGAUUACAUUUAAGAUGACAGUUAAUGCUGCCCGGCUGGUCCGGGGCCCUCCUGAACUUCCCUCCAAAACAGCUCCUCGGAGCCCUUUAUUAAAAAUAUAACCCUCCGAUACCUGAUCCCCACGUGUCCCCCAUCGCUCCGCCCCUCCCCCGGCCCAAACCUUCCUCUAACCAGAAAAGCCAGCGAAAGGAACUUCCGCACUUUGGCCUCCACUGUUCAUUGGUCAGUCAACAAACACUUAGUAAGAGCUGACUGUGUGAGACACUGUUUAUUAGCUAAGAUUCUUGGGCUCAAAUUAAAAAAAAAGUUUAGUUUGUGUGACUGUACUGUGCAGCAGGGCGGGGCAAUCCCUGGAUUCCCGCCAUCCAUCUGUUCACAUCACUGUGAAUGAAUUCUGUCUGGAAAGAACUGGAACAGGAAGGAGCCUCGCCAUGCCUCCUAGGCCUCUACACCAAGGGGAUCAAGGAAAGGGGAAAAGGACUCCGAUAUACAAUUUCUUGUGUGUUUCCUCUGAAUGUGGAUAGUGUUCUUUCUCGGAGAUCCCUUAUAUGAUCAUUUAAAAGCAACCAAUUCCGUGAAAGUUGAGAAUUCUGAUCACCUCGAUGACAUCCAUCCGAGACUCCAGAAGCCCAAUGGUGAAGCCCAUGCCCACUUCCUGCUGCAGGAUGCUGCCAAUACGGGAAUUUCCUUUACUUGGCUAUGCAUAUCUUUAACAAGGGUUUUUGUUUUUGUUUUUCCUGGAGGGAAGGGUGAGAUGCAGAGAAAAAAAUAAUUUAUAUAUUUUUUUAAUCUACAGAAAAAGUUUGUAGAUUUGGAGCUUUAAAAAAAAAGGUAGCUUCUUGUAAUAUAGAUUCCCUGGUCACCCUACUCCAAAAACUAUGUUUUCCUAAUUUAAGCAUUUACCAGAAAAGUGACAGAAGGAGCUAACUAAAUAAAUGAUGUGGCACUGAUGAAGGUCUUUAGGCAGCUAAACUUUAAGCAAAUAA